GUCCAUUUUCCCUCGAGUUUUAGCCAAAACUCUUGGUUCUGCCAGGCUCAUUCUCUUCCCUGCUGGCUCGUACAGGCAGGGGACAAUCUGCUCCUGCACCUUUAAUUACAGCUCCUGCUGCCAGGAGUCUCAAACACCCACACUGUCUGAGGGAAGGGCUUUGUCCCUCCCUUUGCCAGUCCUCUGCCUCCAAGUGUUUAUUUUCACUGUAUGAUGAAUCCAUUUCCCAAGGAGAUGGGUUUAUGAGCACAUUCAUUCCUCUGGCAGGAGGGAGGAUGGCCUGUCUUGCAUGUUCCCUUCUCUGCUCUCUGUCAGCAGAUACAAAGUGCCAUCCUAAAAGCAUCAGGGAAACCAAGGUUUCUUGACCAUGGCAGUGCCUGGCUGUUUCCCUGGGCUGUGAGGAUUGAAGGGUGAGCUGGGAAGGUACACACUGGUCUUCUCACCAGCAAUACCCCAGUCUUCCCCUCCCCAGCUGCCUGUGCAGGGGCAUCCAGCCCUGGUGAAGCACCUCAUUCCUUGGCUGACCCACGCUGUUUGCUACCUUGUGCCUGCGCUUCGUGUGCAAUGUGUGUGGUACCCAGAGCAGUUCUGCAGGUUCAGAUGAGCAAGAGCUGUUGUGAAAAGCUGUCCUGGCCUUCUAUGUUCUCAGCAGAGAGGCAGUGUGACUCCAGGCUCCCUGAGAUUAGUGUUUUGCAAGAUUAAGGUUCCUUUCAUCACUGCUUUUACAAUUUGCUUGGUUUCUCAGUUCCACAGUAGGACCACAGCCACUUUGGCAUCUCCUCCCUGUGCAGCAGUCUCUUCCAGUGUGAAAACCUGGCCCUUUCUGAGCAGCCCCAGUAUUUCUUCCCCUUGUUGUACUUUUAUUGGAUCUAUUUUGAAAGCAAACAUUAGUACUAAUCUUUCUUCCUGGGGGCAAAGGGAACAUUUUGCACUGAACACACAUCCUGGGCUGUGAGAAUGCUGUCCUUUGGCAGCAGGGGUAGCUAGACCCUCUUGCCAAGACAUUUCUGUGGGUCACCAGGGACACAGGGCACCCAGGGGAACCUGUAGGUGAUUUUUGUCACAUUCCAGAGUAGGGCAGCAAUAUUCCACCCAGCACUGGCUCUUGGGAGAUGCACUACAGCUGUUCCUCAAGGGCUCCAGCUGCAGCUGGUGGCACGGGCAGAUCCCGUGGCACCUCUGCUCUCUCUCGCAGCCUCGGUCGAAGGACUGAGGCUUGUAUUUGCCUGGCACAGAACAAAGUAUGGCCAGCCCAGCUGGGAGCACAGUCACUUCUCCAGUGACACAGCCUGGGUCUCGACAGAGCAGUGCAUGCUGGAAACUGGGGUUUACACGACUUGGAAGUAAAGUGAUAAGUGGUAAGCGUUGUAAGAGCAGAACACAACCCUGAUUCCCCUGAAUCUGGCAGUGGGUGUUCGCUGGAAUUGCUGUGUGUAAAGGUGAUGAAUCAUGCAGAGUAUUUUAGUGGGUACCAAGCUUUUAUAAACUUUCUUCAUCAUGAAAAAAGUGGAUUUGCUGCUUCUCCGUGCAUGCAAUUUCAGUUUUUCCCAUUUUCUCACCCUCCCAGUGGCAGGAGCAUACAACUGAAUUUCUGUGCAAUAUUGCCAGUGCCAGGGAGAGCGGAUUGGGAAAUAUUUAAUUGUUUACUGUCCUUGGUAAGGUCAUUUUUGCACAAGUGCAUUACAGAUAUAUGAGAUCCGAAGAGGACAC